rnacentral:rRNA from 1 species
AGCGUAGGCGGUUUUUUAAGUGGGGUGUGAAAUCCCUGGGCUUAACCCAGGAAUUGCAUUCCAUACUGGGAAACUAGAGUGCAGGAGAGGAAAGUGGAAUUCCAAGUGUAGCGGUGAAAUGCGUAGAGAUUUGGAGGAACACCAGUGGCGAAGGCGACUUUCUGGACUGUAACUGACGCUGAGGCUCGAGAGCGUGGGGAGCAAACAGGAUUAGAUACCCUGGUAGUCCACGCUGUAAACGAUCGAAUACUAGGUGUUGGGGGCGAAGCCCUCAGUGCCCGCAGGUUAACACAUUAAGUAUUCCGCCUGGGGAGUACGAUCGCAAGAUUAAA